UACGUAGGGCGCGAGCGUUGUCCGGAAUUAUUGGGCGUAAAGAGCUCGUAGGCGGUCUGUUGCGUCUGCUGUGAAAACCCGGGGCUUAACCCCUGGCUUGCAGUGGAUACGGACAGACUAGAGGUAGGUAGGGGAGAAUGGAAUUCCCGGUGUAGCGGUGAAAUGCGCAGAUAUCGGGAGGAACACCGGUGGCGAAGGCGGUUCUCUGGGCCUUACCUGACGCUGAGGAGCGAAAGCGUGGGGAGCGAACAGG
rnacentral:rRNA from 1 species